GGAAAUCCUCAUCUUUCCCAGUGGGAAGUUAGUAAGAAUAUAAAACAGAAAAAUUAAGAAGUAGCAAUAUAAACAUAUUACUAAGAUAAAUAAAGGCAAAUAUCAAAAGAAUCAACUAAAAGAGCUAAAAGUGGUUUCCUUCGGAGAGCAGGCAAUAGGAGUAAAGGUGAGGAACUGGAGAACUAGCUGAGUGCAGAAGCGUAUGCCUGUAAUCCAGCACUGAGGCUGAGGCAGGAGGAUCUCUUGAGCCUAGAAGUUUGAGACCAGCCUGGGCAACAAAGUGAGACCCUGCCUCUACAAAAAAUUAAAAAAUUAGCUGGGCACAGUGGCAUGUGCCUGUAGUCUCAGCUACUUGGGAGGCUGAGGUGGGAGAACUGUCAGAGCCCAGGAGGUCAAUGCUACAGUGAGCCAUGUUCAUGCCACUGUAUUCCACCCUGGGUGACAGAGAACCUGUCUCAAACAAACCAACAAAAAAUUGCAGAGCUACUGGUUUUGUAACAAGCUUUGUAGAACUGUUUGACUUUUCUAAACAAUGUGCAUGGAUAAUUUUAAUAAAAACAAAAACUGUAUUUGAAAGAGACAGAACACUUACCAAUAUACUUUUCUUGCUUUUUGAAUAGAGGUAACAGUCUGAACUUCUUUUAAUGUUUGCUUUGUUUUCUUUUCUGCUGACUUGAAUGCCUAUUUAUAGAAAAGAGUUUUAAAAACAAUUUGUUAAGAAUGUAUUUAAAUAACACCAAAGUAAAUAAUGGGGCAAGAAUUUUUUUAAAUGUCACAAAAUGGCACAAUCUACACACACACACACAAACACACACACACACAAAUACGCAUACUUGAAAGUAAUGAAGAAAUGAAAAUAUUUUUGCCUGAAGUAUUAAAAUAAUCUAAACUAAAGAAUUACUACAUGAAAAUAUUUGCCCAAGACCUACAAAGUAAUAAAUACCUUGUCAUUUUCUAGAUACUGAGUACCUAUCAUAUGCUUGGUUCUAGGCUAGAUGCCAUUAGAGAUAUAAGAGUGAACAAGAUGGACAAAGCCCCCACUCCCACCCCACUAGGUCUAGAAGAGACAACUAUUAAUCAUAUAAUCCUUUAAAUAAAUAUAUAAUGGUGAGUGCUUCUAAAGAUGCUACAGGAAUAUAACAAGGAAACCCGAUUUACACUGGGUUAUGGUCAAAGAAGGUAUCUCUGAGGAAAUGACAUUUAAGCUGAAUCCUCAACGACUAACGGGGUUAUCAGGCAAAGAAUAGGAAAAAGGGCAUUACAAGC
rnacentral:lncRNA from 10 species